GAUGAAGAACGUAGUGAAAUGCGAUAAGUAAUGUGAAUUGCAGAAUUCAGUGAAUCAUCGAAUCUUUGAACGCACAUUGCGCCCCUUGGUAUUCCGAGGGGCAUGCCUGUUCGAGCGUCAUUACACCACUCAAGCACUGCUUGGUAUUGGGCAUCGUCCGUCGAAAGGCGGGCGUGCCUCGAAGACCUCGGCGGGGUUUCUCCAACUUCGGGCGUAGUAGAGUUAAAUCGAAAGUCUUAUAAGCUUGGUGGGACUCCAUUGCCGUUAAACCUUUUAUUUUCUAGGUUGACCUCGGAUCAGGUAGGGAUACCCGCUGAACUUAAGCAUAUCAAUAAGCGGAGGA
rnacentral:misc_RNA from 1 species